rnacentral:tRNA from 1 species
GGCAGUAUAGUUUGACGGUAGGAACACUGCGAUUCCAGCAGAGGCGAAGGUUCGACUCCUUCAACUGCCC